GCGUAUAUUAAGUUGUUGCAGUUAAAAAGCUCGUAGUUGAAUUUCGGGAUUAGUAGGUUGGUCGUGCCUCCGGUAUGCACUGGCUUUACUGGUUCCUCCUUCUUGAAGAACUGUAAUGUCAUUAAUUUGGUGUUGCAGGGAAACAGGACUGUUACUUUGAAAAAAUUAGAGUGUUUAAAGCAGGCUAACGCUUGAAUACAUUAGCAUGGAAUAAUGAAAUAGGACGUUUGAUCCUAUUUUGUUGGUUUCUAGGAUUGACGUAAUGAUUAAUAGGGAUAGUUGGGGGCAUUAGUAUUCAAUUGUCAGAGGUGAAAUUCUUGGAUUUAUUGAAGACUAACUACUGCGAAAGCAUUUGCCAAGGAUGUUUUCAUUAAUCAAGAACGAAAGUUAGGGGAUCGAAGACGAUCAGAUACCGUCGUAGUCUUAACCAUAAA
rnacentral:rRNA from 1 species